UACGUAGGGUCCGAGCGUUGUCCGGAAUUACUGGGCGUAAAGAGCUCGUAGGCGGUGUGUCACGUCGGCCGUGAAAACCUGCAGCUUAACUGUGGGCGUGCGGUCGAUACGGGCAUCACUGGAGUUCGGCAGGGGAGACUGGAAUUCCUGGUGUAGCGGUGAAAUGCGUAGAGAUCGGGAGGAACACCUGUGGCGAAGGCGGCCGUCUGGGCCGACCCGUGACGCUGAGGCGCGAAGGCGUGGGGAGCGAACGGG
rnacentral:rRNA from 1 species